CACACACACACACACACAUACACCAUCUUCUACUCCCUGCUUUUCACCCCCAUUUGAUCCCUCUCAGUGGGAAAUGUAGCCUUGUUUUGGCAUCACAUUAACAAAAAGGGAUGCUUUUAAAAAGUUAAAUGGAAAAAAAGGAGACUUGGUUAGGGUCGAUUUAACUUUUUUCUAUGCUAGAGUAAAAGAAGCCAAAGUUUGCAAAGUAUAGCUAGGCCCCCAAAACUAGAUGUUUAUAGCAGCACUGCAGACAACAAAAAUUAUUCAUACCAGCUCCAGAAUUUGUUAUAUGUGAUGCAUGCUAGAAGAUUUUUUUUAAUAUAUACUAGCAUUUGUCUUUAGAUAGUAUUAUUCCUUUCAACCAAAGACUCCAGAAUUAUUUUUCAAAAGCAAACGAAUAAAAAAGUGAAAGAAAGAAAGGAAAUGGAAAAAAAGGUCACUGCUUCACACCAAAGUUUAAAUAAUUUUUCCAAAUGCAGUAGGGAGAUGGUUUUUAAAAAAAAUAGAAAGGAGUCAAUAGAGAGUAAAUUCAGAAGUUUCCCUGAGCAAAUUAUUGUCUGUGUGUUUGUUUGCGUUUUUAAGUUGGAAAAAAAAAAAAAGCUGUACCCUUAAAUAGCUCUAGUUUGGGAAAUUCAUUGAGAACAUUUCUCUAGAUAUGUGCAAUAUUUAGACAUCAAUUUUUAACUUGAUUUAGGAAGUAUGUUUGUGAUAAACAUCCAAAACGAUGAAAAACAAAAUUUUAUUUUGAGUUCUAAAGCGAAAUGCCACUCCCUGUUAGAUCCCCUCCAUCUGACGCCAUACCCCUGUCACUCACCAUUUGAAUCAAGUCAGCAUUUCCAUCAGUUUGUCCCAUUUUAUGUUUUGGUUCAGUGAUUACGAGUCCACACACAUUCGUUUUAGACACAAUCCACGCAAAUGAAGCUACCUAUAAUUUAAAUUCCAUGCCACUUACAAUUUUUCUUUGCAUGGGUGUUUAAAUAGUUCUGUUAUGGAAUUGUUCCUGCGUAGUUCUGAACUGUCCUUUUAUAAGAAGUGAUGGUCCCGUGUCUUCACAACGUAGUGAUUAUCAGCCUUACAAUGACCUUGUAGCCUUUCUGAACACACACAUCCUGCUCACUCCCCAACAGCUAGAAAAAUGCAAAGCACUAGCGGGACUCACUGCAUCCGUUUUCACGUCUUUCUAACAUCAGGACUUCUAAAAUCUCUGGGAUACACGCGGUAGUCAAAUUCAAAAGAGGAUUAUCAAUGAAUAGCACAUAAGAAUUAUUUUCAUGAAUUUCAACUAAUUGCAGCCAGUUUCAGCAUGUAAAUAUAUACUAAUGUUGGCUAGUGUGUAAUUCUUGAGCUAAGAAAUAUAAAUAAAAAUUAAAAGUUC
rnacentral:lncRNA from 1 species